UGUCCAUGUAAUGUUACACAGACGUCUGGAUCCUCUUGCCUUAUCCACUCGUGGCUGCUGCUGCUGGUGGUGGAGGUUGCCAUGUAGAGCAAAAUGGCACCAGGUUCAUUCUGAAGGACACGGCACAAAAGUGUGCCAUAUACCAUUGGCGUGAUGGUGAAACUGUGGUUGCCAACGAACAUCAGUCCAACACCUCGAUUGUGCGGACAUGGGGCAAUUACAGCAUCUUCUUUUUCUCUUGUCAAAACAAUGUCAGAUACAAGAGUAAAUGUUCUGGGAGCAUCAUCAACUGUUCCUACCCCUGCCCCGCCGAGAGUAAACUCACCACCACAUCACCAGCUAAAGAGCGGUCACCUUUAAAUCACGGUGCUGUUAUUGGAGGCAGUACUGCCGUUGCCAUUGUUCUCUGCGUUGCAGUCCUGAUAUUGGCCACGUCAGAGCGGCUUAGAACGUAAGAGCCGCACUCGCCCAUCCUCUAAACAUUCGGUCAUCUGUUCUGAGAGUAAAUCUUUGUAUUUCUGUGUGCAGAUGUAUGCAGGCUAAGACAGCCGCCUGGUGCAGAUGUGGCUACAGCGCAGCACAGUAGACCGUCCAGAGCGGCCUUGGUGCUCCACCACUUCCAGCUAGCCUAUAUGGUGGCCUUCAUGUACUUAUCACAUACUGCAGCUGAUCAUUUAAGGCCAUUUACAGCAUUAAGCGCUGUUGGGACAGGGUUCGUUUCACAUGGGGAGGUAAUGCAACUUUACCACAGGACGUUUGGAAUGUUUUUGAAUGAUUACAGAGAUUUCCCACCUACAUGCUACACACAUGGCUUCUCUGUAGUAGAAAACAUGUCCAGACAUUAAGGCUCGAUCCUGUCUCUUCUUUUUUUACCUCUACUGCUUGUUUUCAAGUGUUAUCUUGUGCCUUAGUUUGGGCCACAGAAAGCACAAUGCUUCCAUGGUGCUAUACUUAAGAACAAAUGUGAAAACUCCUGGAUACGAUGGAGCAUUGAGACCAAAUUCACACAGGAACGCUACAGGUUGUUUCAUAAUAGUGGAUGGAACCACAAUCACUGAAGAAAUACACGCAAAAAUGACAUGAUCCCACCUCCCUGUGUCAAACCCAUCCUGUCCGAAUGGCGCAUUAGUCACCAUCAACUUUUUCAACUCUUCGUGCAUUCCUGUGUAGAUAUUUCUGAGUUUUUAAGCCAUAUAGCACCUUUUUUUAUCAGUCACUCUUUCACCUGUCCUUUUUAGUAGCCUGUUACUCUAAUAACUGCUGUUCUAUUCUUUCUUUCUGGUGUAGCUUCUAUAAACUAUAUUAUAUUUUACUCUCCCUGCAUUAUAUUUUACUGUAGCAAAGGGGGGAGGGUUCGCUUGGAAUUUAUGUUCAGCUUAUUAUAGAAUGACUGGCAUCACAAAGCUUUAAAGACAUUUUAUUACUAACAUAUUUAUUUAUAAAUAUUGUUUGUAAAAUAGCUAGAUGAAAUAUUAGCCUGUUACAAGCUUUAAAAAACAAAUAUAGAAUGUAUUUUAUGCGCUUAAUCAUGAACACCCGGAAAGUGUUAAUGUGCACCACCGUUAGCUUAACACUCACUUGCCAUGGGAAAUUCCAUAGAGGCCAGCUUAAAGUUGCAUUAUUGUUUUUUUUCCCCUCAUUUUUGGACUUGAGUUCUGAUAAAGCCUAGCUCUGAAAAUCAUGGUCCACCCCAGUGUUGUGCUGAGUUUCGGUUAUUUUCCCAGAAUUAACAGUCCAGUACGCAUACUAUAGACAGUGUUGACCGCAGCACUCUGUACUGUGUUUGCACUCACAUAGACAUUUGAGCCUUUUAGAGAUGUUCUUUGUAGGCUUAGUUCUCUUUGCCUCAUUUCCGUCUCUUAUUGACCGGGGUAUAUUUUGGUUUGUCCGUCUGAAUUUUCGUGACCAAAUCCUAAGGGCAGAUUUUUCAUGGGCUGCAUUAAAUGAAUGUAAGUUUUUAUUUUAUUUUAAUUUAUUUAUUUAUUUUGAAAAUAAAGCCCCC
ensembl:lncRNA